UGGUAGUCAAUUGCAGUAACGCUGCCGUCCCAGGGGCCAGCGAGGAGCUGGAUCCGGGCGUUAGCAUUCCCCGGCUCAAGCUUCCCAGGCCUGGGGCCUCCCUGCAGCUUCACAAGUCUCAAGGUUGGAUUUCCUUUUCCUAAAUCCUAACUCCUUGGGCACAAGACUGGGACCGGCACCACGCCUGUCUUUUUUCCCUUCUGUUCUGAGAGCGCCCCCACCUGUCCAGACGUGGAACCGGGUCCCAGGAAGGCUCCAGCUGGAUGAGUUCUCUAUCUCCAUUGUCCACCCACAAAUGCGAAUACAAACACGAACAUCACUUUUAUUAAAAUUUAUUCACAAAAAAGUGAGAUUGCAGAGGUUCUGGGGGCUGUACACGGACAGGGGCCUGGUGAGAUCUGUACAUGGGGCAGGGAGACAUGGGAGCCUCCAAGUGGAAGGAUACUUCUUAAAAAAAAUAAUGGGAACUACAACCCCA